rnacentral:rRNA from 1 species
AUCCGAAUGGGACAACCCACUUAGUUGAGGACUAAGUAUCCAGUAAUGGAGGCAAACCCGGGGAACUGAAACAUCUAAGUACCCGUAGGAAAGGACAUCAACCGAGACUCCGUCAGUAGCGGCGAGCGAACGCGGACCAGGCCAGUGGCCGUAGAUUAAAAACUAGAAUGCGAUGGAAAGCGCAACCGUAGUGGGUGAUAGUCCCGUAUAGGUAAAUUGGUUUACGGUCCUCGAGUAGGGCGGAACACGUGAAAUUCUGUCUGAAGAUCGGAGGACCACCUUCGAAGGCUAAGUACUCCUUGCUGACCGAUAGCGAACCAGUACCGUGAGGGAAAGGUGAAAAGCACCCCGACGAGGGGAGUGAAACAGUACCUGAAACCGAACGCCUACAAUCAGUCGGAGCUUG